UACGAAGGGGGCUAGCGUUGCUCGGAAUCACUGGGCGUAAAGGGUGCGUAGGCGGGUCUUUAAGUCAGAGGUGAAAUCCUGGAGCUCAACUCCAGAACUGCCUUUGAUACUGAGGAUCUUGAGUUCGGGAGAGGUGAGUGGAACUGCGAGUGUAGAGGUGAAAUUCGUAGAUAUCGGGAGGAACACCGGUGGCGAAGGCGGCGAUCUGGGUCGAUACUGACGCUGAGGUGCGAAAGCGUGGGGAGCAAACAGG
rnacentral:rRNA from 1 species